GGGGCCCUUUAGUUUCGCAUCUGGACCUUCGAUAUUCACAUCAGGAACAUCAACGUCCACUUUGGGUCCUGAGACAUCAAUGUCAGCCUUGGGCAGGUUCACAUCCACAUCUGGGCCCUCUCCUUUGAAGCCAGGCAUGCUGAACUUGGGCAUUUUCACUUUGGGCAUUUUUAAGUGCCAGUCUGGGCCUUGAACGUCCACAUCUGGGCCCUCUCCUUUGAAGCCAGGCAUGCUGAACUUGGGCAUUUUCACCUUGGGCAUCUUCAGGUGCCAGUCUGGAGCUUGGACAUCGGGGGCAUUUACAUCAACUUUGGGGCCCCUGAUGUUCAUAUCUG
rnacentral:lncRNA from 1 species